AUCACGGUCGACUAAUGGUAAGUCAUUCUAGCUCUGGGUGGGAAAGAUGCGGGUUCAAAUCCCUCUCGGGAUU
rfam:Vigna angularis cultivar Jingnong 6 scaffold144_46, whole genome shotgun sequence.